UACGUAGGGAGCAAGCGUUGUUCGGAUUUACUGGGCGUAAAGGGCGCGUAGGCGGCAAAUCAAGUCAGCUGUGAAAUCUCCGGGCUUAACUCGGAACGGUCAGCUGAUACUGCUUUGCUAGAGUGCAGAAAGGGCAAUCGGAAUUCUUGGUGUAGCGGUGAAAUGCGUAGAUAUCAAGAGGAACACCUGAGGCGAAGGCGGGUUGCUAGGCUGACACUGACGCUGAGUGCGCGAAAGCCAGGGGAGCAAACGGG
rnacentral:rRNA from 1 species